UUUGGUUACAAUGCUGCAACUGGAAAAUACGAGGAUCUAAUGGCUGCCGGCAUAAUUGAUCCCACAAAGGCAAGUUCCUUUACUGCUUCAUUUUGUUUCUAGACGUUAGAGCAGUAGGAAUAUUGAUUAGUAUGGACCUAUUAAGUUAUUUAUUAUUUAGCACGUUAAGCCUGUUGCUUAAGAAACAUAAAAUCACGUUUGGAAGCAGGUUGUAAGAUGUUGCCUGGAGCAUGCAGCAUCCGUGGCAAGGACAUUCCUCACAUCUGAUGCUGUAGUAGUCGACAUCAAGGAACCUGAACCCAUACCUGCUGGAAAUCCCAUGGGCAAUUCAGGUAGUUACCAUUUCUUAUUGUCCAAACUUCUCAAGAAUAAAUCUAAAUUUGUACUAAAUGAUUUCCAAUUAUUGCUUUGAUCAGGUUAUGGUUACUAGUUGCUGCAGCAUCUGUGGGAAUUGAAACAGUUGGAUGAUAAAAUCCCACAAUGUCUUUUUCACCGGCUUGAUUUAAUUUAUGUUUCGAGGGGUCAUAAAAAAUGUUGGCAGUUUUCAGUAUUGGGAAUGCUUAGUUGAUUUUGAAUAGAAUCCUGAGAUGUCGUAGCCUUCGUAUUUUUCUUGCAGUAGUUGUCGUCACUGGCAAAAUCUAGCUAGUGGUACGAUAAGAGCAAAGGUGCGGGGCGAAUAAUUUUAUUGUCUCUGUAUUUCUGUAUCUGUAAGUUGCACUGGAAAAUGAUUGUUGUCAAUAAAUGGGAAUAAUUUGCUUGAGAAGAGAGUAUAUAUUGCUACUUGUCCAGUUAAUGGCAUUACUUGCGAACAAAUUUUGAUUUUUAAACUUGAAGUUAAAAAGUGACUAUGAACACCUUUUAAGCUUAGCCAAACAUGCCUAUCUACAUUAUUAAAAAUGUCAGCAUCAUUGCUCCCGGAUCUAGAACAAGAUCAAUAAGCUAAAAUCUGUAAAGCAAUGAUUCUAUUUGACGUAGGUUUGUAUUUGAACAGUUAUGGUGUUUGCAUCACAUGCAUAGGAGCUGUUCUUGAUCAUCGGUGUACACUCCGCUUCGACGCUUUAAAGAUACGAUACAACCAUACCAGUCUUUUUCAUUCAACAAUAAAAGUGGAUAAGAAUCGAUGUCGAAAUGAUCAUGUUUAAAAAAUUGAUUCAAAUGAUUCAGCACAUUGAAAUGAAAGUGAAAAACUAUGGGAUACCAACUGGAUUUUUGCUGUUGCGGGUGGUGGGAGCAAAAACCUAAGAUUCUGAGCUUAAGGCGUGUAAUAUUUUAUUCAGAUAUGGUUUGUUUAUCCCUCUACCUGCCUCGUUACCUUCGCGUCAAACUUUUUUAUGUUGAUGCCAUAAAGGAUACUUUAGAUAACGACGAGCAGAAGGUAAUGCGGGCUCAUAUUUUCUUGGUCUAGACUAUAUCCAAGGAAGAUGCAAUGCUUGAUUGUGUAAUUGCUAAAUAAGGAUUGAUUAUUUGAAUGGCUGCAGGUUGGAGCAGAUAUUGUUAAGAGAGCAUUGAGUUAUCCAAUGAAGUUAAUUGCUAAGAAUGCAGGGGUGAAUGGAAGUGUUGUUAUAGAGAAGGUAAGGCUUGACUCAGAUGCUCUUGUGGCAUGUUCAGAAUUAUCUUUUUGCGAGUUUUUAUCUGAAUCAUGUUGAUUGACAUCUGCUCUUUGUUUAGGUGUUGGCAAAUGAUAAUUCCAAGUUUGGUUACAAUGCUGCAACUGGAAAAUACGAGGAUCUAAUGGCUGCCGGCAUAAUUGAUCCCACAAAGGCAAGUUCCUUUACUGCUUCAUUUUGUUUCUAGACGUUAGAGCAGUAGGAAUAUUGAUUAGUAUGGACCUAUUAAGUUAUUUAUUAUUUAGCACGUUAAGCCUGUUGCUUAAGAAACAUAAAAUCACGUUUGGAAGCAGG
rnacentral:lncRNA from 1 species